UACGGAGGGAGCUAGCGUUGUUCGGAAUUACUGGGCGUAAAGCGCACGUAGGCGGCUUUGUAAGUUAGAGGUGAAAGCCCGGGGCUCAACCCCGGAAUUGCCUUUAAGACUGCAUCGCUUGAAUUGUGGAGAGGUGAGUGGAAUUCCGAGUGUAGAGGUGAAAUUCGUAGAUAUUCGGAAGAACACCAGUGGCGAAGGCGACUUACUGGACACAUAUUGACGCUGAGGUGCGAAAGCGUGGGGAGCAAACAGG
rnacentral:rRNA from 1 species